GCCUGGCUAGCUCAAUCGGUAGAGCGUGUGACUCUUAUAACUUAUACGAGUUUGCCAUCACAAGGCUGCGGGUUCGAGCCCCGCGUCGGGCU